AAGCGGAGGAAAAGAAACCAACAGGGAUUGCUUAGUAGCGGCGAGUGAAGCGGCAAAAGCUCAAAUUUGAAAUCUGGCUCUUUCAGAGUCCGAGUUGUAAUUUGAAGAAGGUAUCUUUGGGUCUGGCUCUUGUCUAUGUUUCUUGGAACAGAACGUCACAGAGGGUGAGAAUCCCGUGCGAUGAGAUGAUCCAGGCCUAUGUAAAGUUCCUUCGAAGAGUCGAGUUGUUUGGGAAUGCAGCUCUAAGUGGGUGGUAAAUUCCAUCUAAAGCUAAAUAUUGGCGAGAGACCGAUAGCGAACAAGUACAGUGAUGGAAAGAUGAAAAGAACUUUGAAAAGAGAGUGAAAAAGUACGUGAAAUUGUUGAAAGGGAAGGGCUUGAGAUCAGACUUGGUAUUUUGUAUGUUACUUUCUUGGGGGGGGCCUUUACCAUUUAAUGGGCCCAGCAUCCAUUUUGGCCGUUAGGAGAAUUGCGUUGGAAUGUGGCACGGCUUUGGUUGUGUGUUAUAGCCUUCGUCGAUACUGCCAGCCUAGACUGAGGACUGCGGUUUAUACCUAGGAUGUUGGCA
rnacentral:rRNA from 1 species